GCGGUUAGGAGCUUACACCCACCCGUGUUUACAUACUAUUGNNGCUUUGGCGGGCCGUGGCCUCCACUGCGGGCUCUGCUCGUGUGUGCCCGCCAGAGGACCAAACUCUGAAUGUUAGUGAUGUCUGAGUACUAUCUAAUAGUUAAAACUUUCAACAACGGAUCUCUUGGUUCUGGCAUCGAUGAAGAACGCAGCGAAAUGCGAUAAGUAAUGUGAAUUGCAGAAUUCAGUGAAUCAUCGAAUCUUUGAACGCACAUUGCGCCCUGUGGUAUUCCGCAGGGCAUGCCUGUUCGAGCGUCAUUUAACCACUCACGCCUAGCGUGGUAUUGGGGCACGCGGUCUCGCGGCCCUCAAAAUUAGUGGCGGCGCCGGUGGGCUCUAAGCGUAGUACAUACUCCCGCUAUAGAGUUCCCCCGGUGGCUCGCCAGAACCCCCAAUUUUUUACAGGUUGACCUCGGAUCAGGUAGGGAUACCCGCUGAACUUAAGCAUAUCAAUAAGCGGAGGAAAAGAAACCAACAGGGAUUACCUCAGUAACGGCGAGUGAAGCGGUAACAGCUCAAAUUUGAAAGCUGCCAACAGGCCGCGUUGUAAUUUGUAGAAGCUGCUUUGGGUGUCGGCCCGGUCUAAGUUCCUUGGAACAGGACGUCAUAGAGGGUGAGAAUCCCGUAUGUGAUCGGUGC
rnacentral:rRNA from 1 species